rnacentral:lncRNA from 1 species
AUUGUGGUCAUAAAUUUCCACACACAAGUUUUGCCACAUAACUUUUUUUAUUUAAAUAAAUUUAACAAUUAUUUAAUGGCCUUUGGCAGUCUUUUUGUUUUCAGUCUACUGAAUCUUUUCUGUCACUAAGAGCCUUCAUACAUGGAGCAUAUCAUCAUAGACACACAUAAGAUUUGACUUGCAAUUGAUGAUACAUAUAUGUCUGCAUAUCUAUAUACAGAGUAUUCUACAAGAGUACAGAAUUCGUUCAAUCAAGAUGGCAUCCAGUGAUGAUGAUAUGGAUCCAUGGAUGAUGAUGAUGAUGAUAUAUUUUGUUAUUUUUGUCACCACCGAAGAAAGGAAAAGAAGAUUGUUUUUGGUUCAUUCCUAUAUUGAAAGAAAUGUAAAAUAAUAGAUUGUUUAUUGCUGUGAGGGAAUUAUCAGAUGAUGCAAAAUUUUAAACAUUAUAUAGAAUGGU